GUGCUGAAAGAGGAAAGCACGUGCGAGAAACUGUCAGAACAGACAUUUCUGUAUCCAGUUCAGUGAUUAUGUGGCACCAGCCAUCUAUCCAUGUACGAGUUUCUCGUUCUCUGGCUCUCUUCCCCCCUGCCGCUGUAAAAAGGAAUUACUCAUGGCGGCUGUAUCAUUCUUCCAAGCACCCGUAGGGAACCAGAAGCUGAAGAACCCACCUUUGAGAGUGGAUUUGGGACGUGGGUUUUCGAGAAGCUUGGGUUUUGGUCAUAUGAGACCAACCAAAUGGCGGACUUUUGAGCUCAACAAGCUAGCGGUCUGUGUUGAUAGCAAUGACAUCGCAGCGUCUCGGAGCGAGUCCACACCUCCCCUGACUCGGGUGAAACGCCAUACAAUUUCAGUCUUUGUUGGGGAUGAGAGUGGAAUAAUAAAUCGGAUUGCUGGGGUGUUUGCUAGGAGGGGCUACAACAUUGAGUCCCUUGCAGUUGGUCUGAACAAGGACAAGGCUCUUUUUACCAUAGUGGUCUUGGGAACCGAGAAGGUUUUGAGACAAGUCAUUGCACAACUGAACAAGCUUGUGAACGUCAUUAAGGUUCAAGACAUCUCAAGGGAGCCACAAGUAGAACGUGAACUGAUGCUUAUAAAACUUAAUUCAGAUCUGAAUACCCGUGCUGAGAUCAUGUCAUUAGUAGACAUCUUCAGAGCAAAAAUUGUUGAUAUCUCAGAAGAUUCGCUGACUAUUGAGGUCACUGGGGACCCUGGGAAGAUGGUUGCUAUUCAAAGAAACUUAAGCAAAUUCGGAAUCAAAGAACUUGCAAGAACUGGAAAGAUUGCAUUGCGACGAGAAAAGAUGGGUGAAACUGCUCCAUUCUGGGGAUUCAGUGCAGCUUCCUAUCCAGAUCUUGAACCACCACCUCCUGUUAAUGUUCUUGAAGAGAAAGCAGGUCAAUCACUAUAUCGUGAUGUCCGUAUAUUCUCAGGUGGUGAUGUUUAUCCUGUGGAGCCAUUCGACGACUUGAUGAGGAAACAAGUUCUUGAUGCUCACUGGGGCAUUGUCUAUGGUGAUGAUUCUAGUGAGCUUCAGUCGCACACAUUGUCUAUGCUUGUGAAUGACUGCCCUGGAGUUCUGAACAUGGUUACUGGAGUUAUUUCUCGAAGAGGUUAUAACAUUCAGAGUUUAGCUGUGGGGCCAGCUGAAAAAGAUGGGCUUUCCCGCAUCACAACUGUUGUUCCUGGGACUGAUGAGUCAAUUGGCCAGUUGGUUCAACAACUUCACAAGUUAAUAGAUCUUCAUGAGGUGGUCCUUUCUUCAGGUUCGGGAUAUCACUCACUUGCCAUUUGCAGAGAGAGAACUUAUGCUGAUAAAGAUUUCUGUGAAUAACACUGCUAGGAGGGAUGUCCUUGAUAUCGCCAGCAUUUUCCGGGCCAAAGCUGUUGAUGUGUCUGAUCACACCAUUACACUCGAGGAUGACUUUGAUGGUCUUUGAGAAACACACCUUCAAAUGUUGGAGCAUUUCAGAGUCAAUCAGCAUUGACAAACACCUUUAGCCAGACUCGUGAACUUUCGAAAUUCAACAUUGGCUCAACUUCAUCCAUGAUCCUUGCAUUCAUUCUAGUUUCUUUAAGAUGAAUGUUUUGUUAACUUUUGAACUUCAGCAUCAGUUCGACUUCAUCCAUGAUCUACACUGCUUUGCACUCAUUCCAGUUUCUUUAAGAUAAGAUUUUUGGAAAGUAGUUUCUUUAAUAUGAAAUUAGGGACUUAACAUUAUCAAUUAAAUUGAUGGAUGCUUUAUAACCUCAAUUUGGUGAUGAACACAAUCACAAUUAUAGCUGAAGAUGAUAGCAGUGGGGUAUUGUAGGAUUCUUAUACAAAUAGUAAGUUUCAAAAGCCUUAAUGCCACCUUCAUAGUCCUCAUUCCUAAAAAGAAGUCAGAGAUGUGGAUGUUAAUGUCUAUCACCCCAUUAAUCUGGUGAAUAGAGUGUAUAAGAUAAUUUCUGGAGUCCCUGCUAAUUGAUUGAGUAGGGUUCUUGAGAAGAUUAUUUCAAAGUCUCAAAAUGCACUUGUCGAAGGUGGAACAAAUUCUAGAUUCUUUGCUUAUUUAUAAUGAAUGUUUGGAUAGUACGCUCAUCUUAGGUGAGCCUGAGCUUCUUUGCAAAUUAGAUAUUGGGAAGACCUAUGAGUUUCUUUAUCAUUUGUUGGGGGAUGCAGUUUUGGGGAGAAAUGGCUAUCUUGGAUAGCACAUUAUAUAUCUUCAGUUUGCUUUUCUAUAUUGGUGAAUAGCAUUCUCACUGGCUUCUAUAGUAGCUCUUGUGGUUGAGACAAGAGCGAUCCAU